rnacentral:rRNA from 1 species
AGUGAACGCUGGCGGUAGGCCUAACACAUGCAAGUCGAACGGCAGCACAGUAAGAGCUUGCUCUUACGGGUGGCGAGUGGCGGACGGGUGAGGAAUACAUCGGAAUCUACUUUUUCGUGGGGGAUAACGUAGGGAAACUUACGCUAAUACCGCAUACGACCUACGGGUGAAAGCAGGGGAUCUUCGGACCUUGCGCGAUUGAAUGAGCCGAUGUCGGAUUAGCUAGUUGGCGGGGUAAAGGCCCACCAAGGCGACGAUCCGUAGCUGGUCUGAGAGGAUGAACAGCCACACUGGAACUGAGACACGGUCCAGACUCCUAAGGGAGGCAGCAGUGGGGAAUAUUGGACAAUGGGCGCAAGCCUGAUCCAGCCAUACCGCGUGGGUGAAGAAGGCCUUCGGGUUGUAAAGCCCUUUUGUUUGGAAAGAAAAGCAGCAGGUUAAUACCCCGCUGUUCUGACGGUACCCAAAGAAUAAGCACCGGCUAACUUCGUG